rnacentral:rRNA from 1 species
AUGUCAUGGCUUUUACAACUGAAAGAGCAUAGAGCAUCUCUAGCCGAGCCCCCAGGAUUGCCCCCAGGCCACUUUUUUAGCACCGAUGCUCAAAAAAAGUCCCAGCCGCACCCACAAGACCCUACUUUUCGUCGGAUUUGGUCAAAAAUACAACUGGCGAUCCGAGGGCAAACACAAGGCAUUCUGGGGCUGUUGGGGGAGGAGAGAGAGAAGAUUUUGCAUCUCAUUGGCCCACAGUCAGCCUCCCACUCAUCUCUCCAUACUUUUCCUCCUAGGCCCCACCCAAGUGCUUCUCCUCUCCCCCACAACGAGAUGCAUUCUGGUCGCAAAGUAUAG